AAAAUCACUGUUUCUCAGUCUGUCUCCCAGUUUAGUAAAGUUGGCACUGUAGAAGCUUCAGUGGGAAGCUGAAUCCCACAGAAGGUUCACCCUUGGUCCCUGCAAAGAUUGGGACCUGGCCGCCGUCCCUUGGAGCUGGUUUGAGGGAAAGCCCACAGGGCAGCAGGUGCACUGCCUGUUUUUUCUUCUCUCCCCUACUGCUUCUCCCCUCUUCCUGGGCAGAGGCCUUUGGGCCAGGGACCCAGAUGCUCCAUCUCCUCUUUUGGGGAUGGGUCAUCGGUGAGGUCUGAUGUGAAAGGGAGGCUCUCCGUGUCACCCUGCCCUCGAUUUGAAUCGUUUUGUGAUUAAUCUUAAUUUUGGUCAAUUAAUCCCUGGUCAAUCAUGUUUUUCCAGUUUGAGAGGAAAGAGAAAGGCCAGUUUAAUUUGUAAAAACAAAAGGCAAGCCCCCCAUCUCCCCUUUAUACCCUUUCAAGCUACUCAGAUGCUAUGCAUGGGCAGGCAAGGCUGUCGCUUCUGCUCACCCCUCGGUAUGCCUGCUGCCUGCUUAGUCUUUGGUGUCCGUGUGCGUGGCAGUCACGAGGACCUGUCAUGCCAGCUGGGGUGGGGGCGGCUGUUGGGCACGGCUUCACUUCCAGGGAUAUUUAGCCCUUUCCAUGGUUAUUGGCUGGUUAUAUACAUCAUGUGUUUAGUUACCUGCUCUCUGGGGCCAGGGCUCUGUACUUCGUUAGAUCUUUUCUUUCUGCACUAAUUAGCAAUUCCAAUCCUGAGCAUCUAUGUUACAAGGUUUUUUUUUCUUCUGGUUUUCCCCCCCUGGAUCAUGUGUCUUUGGAUUUUGUUUGCUGAGCACUUUAUUUUCAAGACGUAUUUUGGAAUCUUUGGCAGUAAGGGAAUUGAAAGGAAGGCUGGAUUCUUCCGUCCAGUACUAUGUUGAGCUGUUAAGACAGCUCCAAGGAAUUUCUUCCGAAGGCCAUAAAGCAGCAGUGCGAGAACCAGACGGCCUUUGACAUUUGCAGUGGUGAGAGCAACCUGACUUCACCCAUAGUGCUGAGAGUGCAGGUCCUCAGGGCUCGUGCCACCCACCAGCUCCGGGCUGUGCUGCAGGUCAUGGCCCCGGGGCCUUGGACAUACAUGGCAACCACACUGACACCCCUC